GACGAACGCUGGCGGCGUGCUUAACACAUGCAAGUCGAACGGGCCCGCUCUCUUUUUUGGGGGUGGGUUGAGUGGCGAACGGGUGAGUAUCACGUGAGUAACCUGCCCCCUGCUCCUGGAUAACUGCUUGAAAGGGCGGCUAAUACGGGGUGUGCCGGCUGGUCCGCAUGGGCCUGGUCGGGAUAGUUUCAUCUUCGGGUGUUUCGGUGGGGGAUGGGCUCGCGGCCUAUCAGCUUGUUGGUGGGGUGAUGGCCCACCAAGGCGGUGACGGGUAGCCGGCCUGAGAGGGUGGGCGGCCACACUGGGACUGAGACACGGCCCAGACUCCUGCGGGAGGCAGCAGUGGGGGGUAUUGCACAAUGGACGGAAGCCUGAUGCAGCGACGUCGCGUGAGGGAUGGAGGCCUUCGGGCUGUGAACCUCUUUCUCCGGUGGUGAAGGCCCUGUCCGUUGCGGCGGGGUUGACGGUAGCCGGGUAUGAAGCGCCGGCUAACUACGUG
rnacentral:rRNA from 1 species